UGGAAACCCGUGUGGCAUCCAGCGAGCAAAGCAGGGACAACGGCUGAGCCCGCACCGCGUCUCCGUCCAGCGAGAGGCCGAGGUUGUUCCUGCUGCCCGAGGAAGGCGGCGAGCGGCCCUGCUGUCCGCUCCGAGAGCCCCCGCCCGGCGCCCUUGGGGGCCUGCCUUCGACCGUCAGGGUGGCUCUGGCACCGCAGCUCAGCGCUCUCCAGGCCAUCAGAAACGCCCUCGGCUGAGGUCUGAGGGAUCUGGAGGCACAGAUUGUAAGGACAGAGCAAGGAGGGGGCUAACGGGACCGAGAGCUGCCAGUCAGAGAGGAGCUCUUGCCUCCCUCCAGAAGGGCUCGCGGGAGCUGCUGGAGCUCCGUCACGAGCCACCGUCGUUUGGAAAAGCAAAGCUCACUGAUGUUCAGGGCCUGACACUUCUUAGCGUGACCCAGUCCUCCCUGAAAACUAGAGGAGGCGGAGACGGGCGCCUCCUGUGUCCUUGCCCAGCUUGCCUGAUGGCGCUCUCUCUCUCUCUCUCUCUCUCUCUCUCUCUCUCUCUCACACACACACACACACACACACACACACACACACACACAGCCACGACUAAAGCAAAGUGACAUGCAGCCUUCCUGAAGCAAAAGGCUCGCUGGCCUGGAAGGAAUCGCAGACACCGAGGCCCCAAUCUGUUAGAUUCGGUUUCAUCUCGGAUCCUUCCGGGGCCUGGUGGCGCACACCCGUGAUCCCAGCACUCUUCGAAGCUGAGGGAGGAGGAUCUCAGGUUUGAGCCACAAGCCGGGCAAUUUAGUGACUUAGCAAGAUGCUGUCUCAAAAUGAAAAAGGGCUGGAGGCGUAGCUCAGUGCGAAGGCCCUGAGUUCAAGCCACAUUACCCUCCCCCUAAAAAAAUUCUUCCAGGGUUUUAUAUUCAGCUUACAAAUCUUAUUUUUUUUCUACCUAUAAGUAGAGCAAAUUGCAGCUAUCUCUUUUUAGUCCCUUUCAAAGAAACAUUAGCCAAUACUUGGUUACAUUUGUAACCUUAGGAAAUUAAGUCUUCAAAUAGUUUAAAGUGUGUGUGUGUGUGUGUGUGUGUGUGUGUGUGUGUCUGUGGUGUGUGUGGUGCUGGGAAUCUAACCCAGGGCCUCAGGCUCACCACACAAGGAAGUGCUGUACCACUGAGCUACACCCCCAAACUUCACUUUUGUUUUAAGGGCAUCAAUUAUCUGAUCAACAAAGCAUUUAACCUAAUAAAUUAUGCCUCUAAAUACAAUGGACAUGAAUAUCCACUUGGCUGUAUCUCGAUAGUAUGGCCAUGAUACAUUUUAAAUUAGAAAAACAUGAAUCUCAUUUUAAUAGAUCAAGUUUUGUUAAAUAUUACCAGUAUGCAGGAAUACCAAACAUGGCCUGCUCAACACAAAAAUAUUAAUGUGAUGGCUUUAAUUAUUUUAAACCUUUGUGUAUGUCAUCUAAGAUGUCCCACAGACUAAAGGUAUUUACCCAGGGAAGGGGCUGACCAGAAGCCUUGCUUACUGUAAUCAUCUGGUCCAGAACUGUUUGGUUGGGCAGAAGUUCUGAAGAGGAGGGCUUCCUGGGUGCUGCCUCUUACAACAACUGAGCAAAGUAUUAUAUCAUCCAAGGAAGCCUGGGAUCGUCCACUCAGCGUCCCCGAGUCACGGGCUGCCAGAGGUCUGGGUGGUUUGGCGGUGGCAAGCUGAAUGGACUCCUAGUGGCCACGUAACUUGGACAGGGAUGGAGUCACAUCUCCAGGCUUGAGCUGACAGUGGUCUGAAUCGCACUGCCACUUGAUUUCCCGAUCGGACCCCUUCUUUGGCCCCUAGGACCUGUAAAUGUCUCUACCACUGUAAGUCACAGGUUUUGCAUCCAACAGAAUCCAAAGAUACAUGCUCAUAUCUAAGCUACUUGAGCCUUUGUGGAAUCCUACCUUCUUUGGCUACUGAAGGUUGGGCACCUCUCGUGACUUUAACUUAUAGUCCCAAGGUAUCGAGUCAGUCUACACACACCCCUCUCUGAGCCCCUAUCCUCAGUGUCAUGGAGUUGCUGAGAACUGUGAGAAAAUGUGCAUGAAAUCACUCGUGAACCACGAAGGACUACACAAACAUUAGUGCCUUGCAUGGAGGGAAGCGUGGAAGAGGUAUUUAGUGAUAGAGAUAGAUAGGUAGGUAGAUAAAUGAUCGAUAGAUAAUAGACAGGAGAGAGAAGAAAGAGAGGAUGUUGGUUUUCGUGAACCCAGAGAAUGUGGCAAUGAAGGAUCACUUCUGGCAAGGCACUGAAGCAAAUCGCACCGCCGACUGGACUGCGAUCCACCCUGACCAAUGGGCAGGACCCUUGCAGGCCCCAUGGAGAGCUGUGCAGAAGCCACUCAGCAUGCAGCUGCCCGGGCUUGGCGGGGCAGGCAGGAGCCUUCCGCCCUCCCGGCCCCUUGCACGCUCCUCCUGCCUGCCCUCCCGCACAGUUCUGCCCACCUGUCCUUACUGCUUAGCCUUGGCUCUGCCUUUAGAAAACCCUAAUGGGUGCGGAGGGGAGCCAAGUGCUGGCUUCUGACGGGGUGACACCCUUGUCCAAACUGUGGCCCCGAACCUGUCCCACAUGAGGUGUCCGUGAUCUCAGAGGCAAGGACCUUUUCGGGAGAUCAACCUGGAGCCUCCACCCACAAGUUAGGAGGCCCGGAGCACUCAGCCUCCAGCGCUGCUGGUUCCAGGACCCAGCUCCCCUCCAUUGCUUCAGCCUCGAAGCAAAUUACAAUAUGAAUAUACACCAGAAGAGUUUUUAAAACGAAGAUAACACACAAAGAAAAAAGCCUCACUUGGAAAGCUUUUGGGUUCUAUCACCAGAACCCACGGCCAAAUGACCUCCCUGGAUCACAAGGUCCCCGGCUCUAAGGGCGAGACUGUAUGUCACGCAGCCAGUCACUCCACAGCAAGUCUGCAUCCAUCUCCACUGCAGGCUAUGCUCCUCCAGUCCUGCAGUGUGGCGUCCACGCCCGGCACAGAGGUCAUGGCCAGGGCUUCAUGGGGCCCGGGAGGAAGACUGCAGGCUCGCCUUUAGGGUGACCUGUCCGGGGGCUGCUGUCAUGCUGGGGACGCUGAGUUACUCACCAGGAAGUCACCUCUGCGGGACUCAGACUGCUCAGGGAGGGCCUGGGCCUGGCCUCCGAUGGCAGCUGCCCCGAGCACACUUCCGGGAAGCCACUCCUGGGACAUCCUUACUUCCUGCUCUCUGCCCAGAGUCUGGAAGGAAGAUGAGGCCUCCUCGGUGGCAGCAUCCAGCUGUGCCUCCCUCUUUCCUGGCCUUCAGCCUGCCUCACCCCUUCCACAGACUCUUCCCUCCUCCGGCCUGGGGUCUUGGUUCCCAGAGCGGGAAGGACCCGGCCCUGCCCACCAGCCUCCUGGCUCCACACCCAUCGCUGGGUCUUCCGCAGAUUGUCUUCAUCCCCUGGCACAAUUGGAGUUCCAGAGAGAGCAAACCGUCUGGGGAGCACUGCGUGGAGCCCCGGACUUCAGGCCCCGGCAAAGGGGAGUGCUCAAUGACCUGAGUCUAUCCUUGUUCGUGGCAGAGUAGUGCUCCACUGCAUCUAAGCACUACAUCCUCUUUAUGCAUUCAUCUGUCGGUGGACACCUAUACGGCAGGAAGAGAGAUCUUUCGCAAAUGAGGAGAGAACCAAGAGAUGAAGAAGAGGGGAGGGGAGAGAGGAGGGGCGGAAGGUGUGUGAUGCACACGGGCCAGCACCCCACAGUGAACGCAACCACGCACUCAAACAUGGACUGAAAAAAUAAAAGUUUGAAAUGAGCCACAAAGACUCCCGACCCGACCCGCGGGCCGUGUGACCGUCAGUGCGUGUUGCAAUUGGCCCUGAGUCUGGGGCCGACGUGCAGCUGUCCCUCACAGAUGUACUCCCCCCCCCCACAUCACUCCAUCCUGCCUGCCAGGGACCAGCCUCUGGGUGACACAGCCGGCAUCAGGGAGGAGGUGUCAGCGGCGGCCGGAAGAAAGCUGAGAUCCUACUUCCCUCCAAAUGGGAGUGGGUGUUGCUAUCCAGGAGGUCUUUAGCUGCUCCCGAAGUAUCGCAGGUGAUGAUGGGCCAGAAGAGAACAUUUUUUAACCCUCAGGGUAGGUCUGACAUAAGGCAGGGGGGCAGACUACACGGUCCUCGUGUUAAAGUUUUUAGUUUGCUUGGAAAUAACCACCCAGCACGAUCUCCUGAGCACUCACUCCAAGCAGAGUGUUGGUCCAGCCCGGGGCUUGGUCAUCCCUGAGCCAGGGCCGGUGCUUCAGGGGACAGCCACCAGCACCCUCCACAGAGAAGCUGAGACUCGGAGUCCCACGGCCGGCCAGCAGGGGGCAGGAGUCCACAGCAGGCGCCCCAGCUCCAGAUCCAGGUGCUUAAACACUGUGCCGUUCAUUUUGGUGAGCGAGGAGGAGGAGGAAAUGUUCCCCAUACUCCCAACACCUGGGAGCGACCACAAAUAAUUCUGAUGUUUUUCGUAACAACACAGAGCUCACACUACACACACAAAUGUGUGUCCUGCGCCUGUGUUUCUCAGUCGACACGCUAUGGGUGUCUUCUGCAAGCGCCGGAAGCAGGCAGGCCACCCUCAGGAUGUGCUUCGAGUCCCAGGUCCUCCCCUGCAGCAGACAACUGCAGGCGCUGUGCAGAGCGAUCCUGAGUCCAGCUGCCCAUCGGGGUGGGUACACAGGGCUCUUCCCGUGUUUGGGAUUUUUGAGUUGCAGUGGAUCCCACCUGGCGUUGUGGCCAGAACAGAGGGUGCAGAGCCCCCAGGAGGCUCGGAAGCCGGAGGGAGGGGACCCGCUGUCUGGAGCCAGGUGCCCCUCAGCGACAUCCCUCCUGAUCAGGCGCUUCACAAAGACAAGAGGACUACUUGCUUUCAGAAGGCUGGGAUUCUGUUGUCUUCAGUAGCGGAGCCUUCUUCCGGAAGCUGUAAAAUUUCAAACCUAAUGCCUGGUAAACUCCUCUAGUGCUUGCGUUUCUUAAACUGCCUCAAGGCUGUAGCCGCAGCCCUUUGCGUUUUUUAUUGUUUCUUUCGGAGCUGUGCGUUUGUGAGUCCUUGUGUGCAGUGUGUCAGGAUCACGCUCAUCCCAGGGAGUCGGUCCAUGCGUGGAACCCACCCUAAUCCCCUCUGCGUCCGCCCCCUCUCUCUGUCUCUCACUCCCCAUCCCUUUCCCAGAAGACCUGUCUCUCUGCGUCCCACUCUCUGGCUUGCAUUUUGCUCUGCUAAGCCGACCUCUCCUGGCCACCUGCCUCUUGGUUCUCACUGGGCUCCACCAUGCCCCCCAUUUCUCUAGAUCCUCAAAGGAACAAAAAAGUCCUUAAUCCCAUAAACACAAAACUAUACUUUUUUAGGAAAAAUAAUUGAAACGAAUUUUUUUCCACUGUGAUGGCUAAAUGACCCAGGAAGAGCAGGUGGCUUUCCGUCUUCUGCUGCUGAGCCUCAAGUCAGGGUGGCCGAGCUGGACGUUAGCUUGGGAAAGGCCAGGCCUGACCAUGGCACUGCCAGCAUGCACCAGACA
rnacentral:lncRNA from 1 species